GUAACACGUGGGCAAUCUGCCCUUCACUCUGGGACAAGCCCUGGAAACGGGGUCUAAUACCGGAUACGAGUCUGGGAGGCAUCUCCCGGGCUGGAAAGCUCCGGCGGUGAAGGAUGAGCCCGCGGCCUAUCAGCUUGUUGGUGGGGUAAUGGCCUACCAAGGCGACGACGGGUAGCCGGCCUGAGAGGGCGACCGGCCACACUGGGACUGAGACACGGCCCAGACUCCUACGGGAGGCAGCAGUGGGGAAUAUUGCACAAUGGGCGAAAGCCUGAUGCAGCGACGCCGCGUGAGGGAUGACGGCCUUCGGGUUGUAAACCUCUUUCAGCAGGGAAGAAGCGCAAGUGACGGUACCUGCAGAAGAAGCGCCGGCUAACUACGUGCCAGCAGCCGCGGUAAUACGUAGGGCGCAAGCGUUGUCCGGAAUUAUUGGGCGUAAAGAGCUCGUAGGCGGCUUGUCACGUCGGGUGUGAAAGCCCG
rnacentral:rRNA from 1 species